rnacentral:rRNA from 1 species
UGCCAGCCGCCGCGGUAAGACAGAGGGUGCAAACGUUGUUCGGAUUUACUGGGCGUAAAGCGCGUGUAGGCGGCUAAGCAAGUCGGAUGUGAAAUCCCGGGGCUCAACCUCGGAAGUGCAUCCGAAACUGCAUAGCUAGAGUCCCGGAGAGGGAAGUGGAAUGCUCGGUGUAGAGGUGAAAUUCGUAGAUAUCGAGCAGAACACCAGUGGCGAAGGCGACUUCCUGGACGGUGACUGACGCUGAGACGCGAAAGCGUGGGGAGCAAACAGGAUUAGAUA